rnacentral:rRNA from 1 species
GCAAACUGCGAAUACCGGAGAAUGUUAUCACGGGAGACACACGGCGGGUGCUAACGUCCGUCGUGAAGAGGGAAACAACCCAGACCGCCAGCUAAGGUCCCAAAGUCAUGGUUAAGUGGGAAACGAUGUGGGAAGGCCCAGACAGCCAGGAUGUUGGCUUAGAAGCAGCCAUCAUUUAAAGAAAGCGUAAUAGCUCACUGGUCGAGUCGGCCUGCGCGGAAGAUGUAACGGGGCUAAACCAUGCACCGAAGCUGCGGCAGCGACACUAUGUGUUGUUGGGUAGGGGAGCGUUCUGUAAGCCUGUGAAGGUGUACUGUGAGGUAUGCUGGAGGUAUCAGAAGUGCGAAUGCUGACAUAAGUAACGAUAAAGCGGGUGAAAAGCCCGCUCGCCGGAAGACCAAGGGUUCCUGUCCAACGUUAAUCGGGGCAGGGUGAGUCGACCCCUAAGGCGAGGCCGAAAGGCGUAGUCGAUGGGAAACAGGUUAAUAUUCCUGUACUUGGUGUUACUGCGAAGGGGGGACGGAGAAGGCUAUGUUGGCCGGGCGACGGUUGUC